GAUAAACGCUGGCGGCGUGCCUAAUACAUGCAAGUCGAGCGAACGGACGAGAAGCUUGCUUCUCUGAUGUUAGCGGCGGACGGGUGAGUAACACGUGGAUAACCUACCUAUAAGACUGGGAUAACUUCGGGAAACCGGAGCUAAUACCGGAUAAUAUUUUGAACCGCAUGGUUCAAAAGUGAAAGACGGUCUUGCUGUCACUUAUAGAUGGAUCCGCGCUGCAUUAGCUAGUUGGUAAGGUAACGGCUUACCAAGGCAACGAUGCAUAACCGACCUGAGAGGGUGAUCGGCCACACUGGAACUGAGACACGGUCCAGACUCCUACGGGAGGCAGCAGUAGGGAAUCUUCCGCAAUGGGCGAAAGCCUGACGGAGCAACGCCGCGUGAGUGAUGAAGGUCUUCGGAUCGUAAAACUCUGUUAUUAGGGAAGAACAUAUGUGUAAGUAACUGUGCACAUCUUGACGGUACCUAAUCAGAAAGCCACGGCUAACUACGUGCCAGCAGCCGCGGUAAUACGUAGGUGGCAAGCGUUAUCCAGAAUUAUUGGGCGUAAAGCGCGCGUAGGCGGUUUUUUAAGUCUGAUGUGAAAGCCCACGGCUCAACCGUGGAGGGUCAUUGGAAACUGGAAAACUUGAGUGCAGAAGAGGAAAGUGGAAUUCCAUGUGUAGCGGUGAAAUGCGCAGAGAUAUGGAGGAACACCAGUGGCGAAGGCGACUUUCUGGUCUGUAACUGACGCUGAUGUGCGAAAGCGUGGGGAUCAAACAGGAUUAGAUACCCUGGUAGUCCACGCCGUAAACGAUGAGUGCUAAGUGUUAGGGGGUUUCCGCCCCUUAGUGCUGCAGCUAACGCAUUAAGCACUCCGCCUGGGGAGUACGACCGCAAGGUUGAAACUCAAAGGAAUUGACGGGGACCCGCACAAGCGGUGGAGCAUGUGGUUUAAUUCGAAGCAACGCGAAGAACCUUACCAAAUCUUGACAUCCUUUGACAACUCUAGAGAUAGAGCCUUCCCCUUCGGGGGACAAAGUGACAGGUGGUGCAUGGUUGUCGUCAGCUCGUGUCGUGAGAUGUUGGGUUAAGUCCCGCAACGAGCGCAACCCUUAAGCUUAGUUGCCAUCAUUAAGUUGGGCACUCUAAGUUGACUGCCGGUGACAAACCGGAGGAAGGUGGGGAUGACGUCAAAUCAUCAUGCCCCUUAUGAUUUGGGCUACACACGUGCUACAAUGGACAAUACAAAGGGCAGCGAAACCGCGAGGUCAAGCAAAUCCCAUAAAGUUGUUCUCAGUUCGGAUUGUAGUCUGCAACUCGACUACAUGAAGCUGGAAUCGCUAGUAAUCGUAGAUCAGCAUGCUACGGUGAAUACGUUCCCGGGUCU
rnacentral:rRNA from 1 species